GACGAACGCUGGCGGCGUACCUAAUACAUGCAAGUCGAACGCAUUGUCGUUCAACGUAGCUCGCUACACCGAAAGAAAGUGAGGGGCGAACGGGGGAGUAACACGUGGGUAACCUGCCCAACAGCGGGGGAUAACACGUGGAAACAGGGGCUAAUACCGCAUAAUGCCAUGUACCGCAGGGUAGAUGGAUGAAAGGCGCUUUUGCGGCACGGACGGAGGGACCCGAGGUGCUUGAGCUAGUUGGUGGGGUAACGGCCUACCAAGGGUACGAGGCAUAAGCGGCCUGGGCGGGUGCUCCGCCCCCCUGGGAAUGGGACCCGGCCCAGACUCCUUCGGGGGGCCGCCGUAGGGGAUCUUUGCCCAUGGACGCAAGUCUGGCCGGGCCACCCCGCGUUGGUGGAGGAGGUUUUCCGGUUGUUAAACUCUGUUGUUCGGGAAGAACAAAAAUGGUAGUGGACAGUUCACCCCUUGACGGUAUCUAACCAGAAAGCCACGGCUAACUACGUG
rnacentral:rRNA from 1 species